CAACUCCUGGGGUUGCUAUUCACAGACCAUGAUGUGAAUGGUGCUUCUUGGAGUUGUA
rnacentral:pre_miRNA from 1 species